rnacentral:rRNA from 1 species
UAAGCAUAUAAGUAAGUGGUGGAAAUUAAACCAACUGGGAUCUCUUCAGUAAUUGCGCAUGAACCAGGAUAUGCUUAGCUUGACAAAUGGAGCUGCUGGCUCUGAAUUGUAUUGUGGGAAUGUAUUACCAACAGAGGUGCAGGUGUCAGCCAUUUGAAAGAAAGCAUCAAUGAGGGUGAGAGUCCUGUUUGUCAUGUGCAGCCUUCUGUGCACGGUGUAUAUUUGCUGAGUCACACUCCUCGGCAUUGGAAUGCAAAGUGGGUGGUAAGUUUCAUGCAAAGGUAAAUAUGCAAUUGAGACUGAUAGCGCACAAGUACCAUGAGGGACAUAUGAAAAGGACUUUGAACAGAGAAUUAAAUGAGUUUGUAUUUGCUAAACACAAAGUAAACAGACUUGAUUUCCUCAGUGAGAUUGUAGUGCUUGCUUAACAAUGGGUUUUGGCUGCAAGUGCAAUAAUUCUUGCUUUGUGUGCCAGUUUUUAUGUGGACAUUUGAUUACCUUUGCACAUGAAUGGUAAUUUUCCUGCGGGGUGUGGAUUGCAUAUGCAUGUAAUGAUUUGCAUGUUUGUUAAAUGUGUCUGGUGUAUUUGUUUGUGUCCUUGUCCUUGAGGUUGCUUUCUCCCUUGGGCUUACAUGCCCUGGCACACACAUUCUGGCAAAA